rnacentral:lncRNA from 1 species
AUUUCAGGCUUUCAAUUUAUCCGUGCUUUCAUCUGUCCAAACGUAAGAUCGGAUGGAGAGCAGAACUACCUGAGACCCUUUUGAGGGACAGGCAUGUAGGAACUGCUGCAGUUUGAGGUGAGAGCAAGGUAAAGGUCUUACUGUGAGAAUCGGGUAAAAUCCUCUGUUACUGGGGAGUGGGUGGGGGAGCUGAGACAAUGCCCCAUUCACUCUCUUUUCUCACAGG